UACGUAGGGUGCGAGCGUUGUCCGGAAUUAUUGGGCGUAAAGAGCUCGUAGGCGGUCUGUCGCGUCUGCUGUGAAAACCUAGGGCUUAACUCUGGGCGUGCAGUGGGUACGGGCAGGCUAGAGUGCGGUAGGGGAGACUGGAAUUCCUGGUGUAGCGGUGAAAUGCGCAGAUAUCAGGAGGAACACCGGUGGCGAAGGCGGGUCUCUGGGCCGAUACUGACGCUGAGGAGCGAAAGCGUGGGGAGCGAACAGG
rnacentral:rRNA from 1 species